CCAUCAGAACAACCCCAGAUGUGUUUGUCUGACAGACGAGAGGUCCACCGUUCCAAUGAGUCUGUGAAAAGGUCAUAGACACAGUGUGCAUCAGUAAGGAUCCAUUGUGACUGGAUGAUCGCCCCGCUGCAGUCGUGGCCUGCACCCAGACCAAUGCUCACGUGCCACAGCCAUGGCAGUUUCCCAUCAUCCUCUUCUCUCCUCAGGGCGUCCAUUCCAGAGCCAGCAAAGAUAUCAGUCAUUCCACACGGAGCUGAGAAGUCAGUGGAACGCAAGCAUGAAUACUUGAUCUGGAUUCCACACAUUCUAAAGGCCCUCUGAGACAAAGAGCCUAUUUUAAAGUGGAGAACACAAAGAACAAACCAGCCUGCAAAUGUGGCGAGAUAACUCUGCUGUCAUAAUCGGCUUCCUCCCCCUGAUCUUGAUAUGCUGUCUUUUGGAGAUCUGUGAGGAAAUUGAAACUGAUCAGAGCCUCCAAUCUAAAUGCAUGCAUGCAUUCAUGACCGGACAGAGAGGUCAUGACUGGACAGAGGGGACACCAGGCGCUGACUGGGCCAACAACAGGGCUACAGGGUUGUUUUUACCUUGACUAUGUGGCCUUCUGGGGCAUA